CCCAAACAUGCUCAUAUACUGAAGGGAUAGAUAGCACCAGCAGUUUUCUAUUAACCACGAGAUAAGCCGGAUGCAAGUCUCUCCAGUCAGAAGUGGAAAGAGUAGGGGGUAAUGGAAAUGGAUCGAGCUCUUCUUGAUUCUAUAUUUCACUAAGGAAUGUGAUGACGGCCGUCUGCAGAGGGUCUUGAGUAGUUCCGUGGUUGUUAAAACGGUAACGGGGUGCAGACGGACCCAACCACUACACUUUGCACCCGCUACUGUUGCUUAUUGUCUUUGAAAGCGGUUUCGGGUAUGUUAGCUCGAUAAGCCAAUGUUUUACCCUCCACUCCCUGGUCCUGAGGAUUAAAUGCAUGUUUACACAGCAGGCUCUCCACCACCCAGCUAGAUUAUACUGGCCCGCUAUAUUUCGUUUAUUUUAAAAUUUAUUAGAGAAAGGGGCUAAAUUGCCCAGGCUGAACUCGAAUUCCUGCCUCAGGGUCCCUAAUCGAUUACGAUUAUAGGCCUGCACUGUCAGGUCUGAUUACACGUUUACAAACUACACGCGUUUACAAAGGACUGUGAAUUCACAAACGGAAAACCGCUGAAAAGGGGCCGAUUCCGCGAUUAAACCACCACGCAGGCGCACUGGAAUUCACUGCACUCUUUGCUACCCAGAAUUCCCGGGGCGGUGGAGACCACUCGCUCAACAGAACGGGGGAGACCUGGGUAGAGAGGCGGGCCUGCUUAGGUGCGCUGGAAGUUCCCGUGAGCCUUUGCCCCCCUCUCGUGUGAGGAGUGGUCUGUUCCAAGCCCUUAAGAAUAGGACGCUCACACGUUGCUCUUUCUCUGCGGCCAUCAUGGGAUCAUGUUCCUCAUCUUCCUGUAGCUGGUACUUUCGCCAUGGCCUGCACUCGGCGGGCCGCAGCCAUGCUGAGCCCGGGCCCGGUCUCCCAGCACCGCCCUGGGCGCUGCGCAGAUCUAGGGGAGCCUGACAGGACGUUGACAUCGUGGAAUAGGAGCACUAUCCCACCAUGAGGUUGGGAAGUUAGGGUGGAAGAUUGCCAGCAGCCAUGGCCUCCCAUGAGGGUGUCCCUUUCAAGUUUGAGAACGCACUGGGGGACUGCAGAUGGUGUUGACAGCAGCUGAGGCUACAUUCCCAGGAGUCUCCAGCCAUCACCCCAAAAGCAAGGUGUGGGUCAGCCAACUUUUGUUCUGGACAGGCACGGUUGGUGGUCCUGUCUCCCACAGGAUCUUCUGUACCAUUUAAUAAAGUUUUGUUUAUAAGACUGA
rnacentral:sRNA from 1 species